rnacentral:rRNA from 1 species
AGUGAACGCUGGCGGUAGGCCUAACACAUGCAAGUCGAACGGCAGCACAGUAAGAGCUUGCUCUUACGGGUGGCGAGUGGCGGACGGGUGAGGAAUACAUCGGAAUCUACUUUUUCGUGGGGGAUAACGUAGGGAAACUUACGCUAAUACCGCAUACGACCUACGGGUGAAAGCAGGGGAUCUUCGGACCUUGCGCGAUUGAAUGAGCCGAUGUCGGAUUAGCUAGUUGGCGGGGUAAAGGCCCACCAAGGCGACGAUCCGUAGCUGGUCUGAGAGGAUGAUCAGCCACACUGGAACUGAGACACGGUCCAGACUCCUACGGGAGGCAGCAGUGGGGAAUAUUGGGCAAAGGGCGCAAGCCUGAUCCAGCCAUACCUCGUGGGUGAAGAAGGCCUUCGGGUUGUAAAGCCCUUUUGUUGGGAAAGAAAAGCAGCAGGUUAAUACCCCGCUGUUCUGACGGUACCCAAAGAAUAAGCACCGGCUAACUUCGUG